CGUCCACAUGGUAUUUUAAUAAGAAAAACGUAAUCGCGAUUGCAUUGAGAAUUUUAUAAUUAUAUUAAUUAAAUAACCAAAAACAUUUAUUGUUAUCAAUAAUAUAAAUUUUCUAAACCAAUUAUUUAAGUUCAAUAUAAUUAUAAAAUU
rnacentral:lncRNA from 1 species